rnacentral:snRNA from 1 species
GCACUUCAGCAGCACAUAUACCAAAACUGGAACAGUACAGAGAAUAUUAGCAUGGCUGCUGUGCAAGGGUAACACAGACCUAACGAAGCAACCCAUGGAACA